AUCUUGCUGCUUACAUAACAAAUACUUCAACAAACCUGUCUCCCAUUUAUUUCUCUUCCUGUCUCUCUUCCGUCCUCUGACCUUUGACCUCUCUUCUUCCUCUUCUCAACUUCUUGCCUUUCUCCUCCACACCCUCCUUCCCUCCCCUUCCUCCUCAGUUCUCAGUUUAGAGGAGCCUCUAAAUGGGCUCCUCUCCUGCUCUCCCCAGCCCCCUGCCUUGGUGUUAUGAGGUCCUCAGGCCCUGAGAGGGAGGUGGGUCACCAGCAGCCACAGGAAGUCAUGGCAGUAGGUUGAUCACCAGAAGCAUGGCUAAGACUGAGUCCAGGUGUGGCUGGGGCUCUGUGACACUCUUUUUUUUUUUUUUCUGUUUGUCCUGGACACUGGACACUGGACACUGGCUGGAGGAAUGAGACCUGGAAGCAGGAAGCAAAGGAUCAGCUCAGAGAGAAGGAAGAGUGCUGCCCCAGACACAGCGGGUGCCCCAUCUUCUUCAGGCAUCAGCAAUGAAAGACCUCGGCUGACUUCAGUUUUCCAGAUGAAAACAUCUGUACAACACCUGCAGGACACUGAAAACCUGCAGCUGCUAGGACAGAGGCUUCUUAGGACUCACCUGCCUGGAGGACCAACACUGCCCAGCAUCUGCCACCUGUGUGUUUGGAAAGGAGCUAAUGGGACUCUCUCACCACCUGCUGGCAUGGAGUGGAACUGCAACCCUGCUGUACUAGGCACUGCAAACUGUUCCAGUAAAGAAGGGGGAUGGGGGGUGGGGUAAUGGAAAAUUCUGUAGAAAUAAACAUGUUUACUCC
rnacentral:lncRNA from 1 species